AGAACUCUGCCUCAGAUUCCUCUCGGUUAUCACAGAUCAUGUUGGCGUGAGUUAGCUUUAUUAGAGGUGAAGGAAAUACGGUUCGAUGUUAGGGAGAAGAUUUUGCAAAUGGUUUGUGUCAGCUAUCUUUUAUCCUCAUCACCAUCUCACCUUGGGAAAGUUGGGCAACAGUCCACAUCUCAUUAUUAAAUGGAGAUUUAGAUUCAGCUGCAUGUUAAUACUUAGUGCUAGACAACCUAACUCACAUUUGCACCUUCAGCCUCCAUUUCAAUGGUAGGAAAAGAAUUCUCUCAAGUAGCCACUUGCUUAAAGAAUCCUUUCAUAUCUUUUGUACUUUCGUUGGUGUAAACAUAAAUGAACAUCACAACUUUCAUUUCAAAUCAGUUUCUUAUUUUGGGUGAGGCAAGUGAUAGAGAAAACCAAAUUUUCUUCA